CCUACGGGUGGCUGCAGUGGGGAAUAUUGGACAAUGGGGGGAACCCUGAUCCAGCCAUGCCGCGUGUGUGAAGAAGGCCCUCGGGUUGUAAAGCACUUUCAGUGAGGAAGAACGCCUGGUGGUUAAUACCCAUCAGGAAAGACAUCACUCACAGAAGAAGCACCGGCUAACUCCGUGCCAGCAGCCGCGGUAAUACGGAGGGUGCGAGCGUUAAUCGGAAUUACUGGGCGUAAAGCGCGCGUAGGUGGCUUGAUAAGCCGGUUGUGAAAGCCCCGGGCUCAACCUGGGAACGGCAUCCGGAACUGUCAAGCUAGAGUGUAGGAGAGGAAGGUAGAAUUCCCGGUGUAGCGGUGAAAUGCGUAGAGAUCGGGAGGAAUACCAGUGGCGAAGGCGGCCUUCUGGACUGACACUGACACUGAGGUGCGAAAGCGUGGGUAGCAAACAGGAUUAGAUACCCCAGUAGUC
rnacentral:rRNA from 1 species